AGGCUAGAGCAUUCUCUCUACCUUUAUGAUGAUGAUCAUAAUGGUAAAACUAAAGAUAUUUCAUUUACUCUUCAAAUAAAGAUUACUUUUCCUGGGUGAGUGCACCAGUAAAAUUUUGCAAAACAGGUCUAACCUAAUCUGAGCAUCUAGGCAUUUAUAAAUUAUACCACAUAAUGACUGUGGUAUCUAUCUAUUUCCAAAUCCAGUGCUGCAACCACUGAAUAACUUUACACACAUGAGCAAUCUGAAUUAUUUAAAAUGAGACACUCAUAUGCCUAAAGUUAUUUAGAUGCAUAGGUGUUUUGCAGAAUUGGGCCUGAAGUUCAUACACCGCAAUCAGUGUAGCUGGGAUUUUUACACUGCACUCUUCUCCAUGGUAUGCAGAGGAUGAUUCUCUCUGAAUGUGUACUUUCUUUUCAUCCAGUUAUUGCAACCCAGUUAUUAAAAGGAAGAACAUAACCACAACAGCCUUUCUGUUCCAUGAAUAAUACUGACCUUGGACCUUUUUGUCUGCCUGGAUUCCUUUUUCCUUUUGUUCACUUCAGAUUGAAUGUAUUGUGCCUCUUCAUUCUUUUGUCACCAAGCGUUCAGCCCCAGUCUUUCUGUAACCAUUGACUGAGAACAGUAUUUAUAAUGUUCAUGGCUGAUACCUGUAUCUGUUAGACCAUCUUAAAGUCUGUUGCACCUCUGUG